rnacentral:rRNA from 1 species
GGUCAAGCGAAUAAGUGCAUGUGGUGGAUGCCUUGGCGAUCACAGGCGAUGAAGGACGUAGUAGCUUGCGAAAAGCUGCGGGGAGCUGGCAAACGAGCUUUGAUCCGCAGAUGUCCGAAUGGGGAAACCCGGCCCGUAUGGGUCAUCCCUUGCUGAAUACAUAGGCAAGGGAGGCGAACGCAGUGAACUGAAACAUCUAAGUAGCUGCAGGAAAAGAAAUCAACCGAGAUUCCCAAAGUAGUGGCGAGCGAAAUGGGAACAGCCUUGUACUCUUUAGCAGUAUUGUUAGCGGAACGGAAUGGAAAGUCCGGCCAUAGUGGGUGAUAGCCCCGUACGCGAAAACAGUAUUGUGGAACUAGGUGUACGACAAGUAGGGCGGGACACGUGAAAUCCUGUCUGAAGAUGGGGGGACCAUCCUCCAAGGCUAAAUACUCGUGAUCGACCGAUAGUGAACCAGUACCGUGAGGGAAAGGCGAAAAGAACCCCGGGAGGGGAGUGAAAUAGAUCCUGAAACCGCAUGCAUACAAACAGUCGGAGCCUGGAAACGGGUGACGGCGUACCUUUUGUAUAAUGGGUCAGCGACUUACAUUCAGUGGCAAGCUUAACCGAUUAGGGAAGGCGUAGCGAAAGCGAGUCCGAAUAGGGCGUUCAGUCGCUGGGUGUAGACCCGAAACCAAGUGAUCUAUCCAUGGCCAGGUUGAAGGUGCGGUAACACGUACUGGAGGACCGAACCCACUAACGUUGAAAAGUUAGGGGAUGAGCUGUGGAUAGGGGUGAAAGGCUAAACAAACUUGGAAAUAGCUGGUUCUCUCCGAAAACUAUUUAGGUAGUGCCUCGUGUCUCACCUUCGGGGGUAGAGCACUGUCAUGGUUGGGGGGUCUAUUGCUGAUUACCCCGCCAUAGCAAACUCCGAAUACCGAAGAGUGCAAUCACGGGAGACAGACAUCGGGUGCUAACGUCCGGUGUCAAGAGGGAAACAACCCAGACCGCCAGCUAAGGUCCCUAAGAUUGGCUAAGUGGGAAACGAAGUGGGAAGGCUAAAACAGUCAGGAGGUUGGCUUAGAAGCAGCCACCCUUUAAAGAAAGCGUAAUAGCUCACUGAUCGAGUCGUCCUGCGCGGAAGAUGUAACGGGGCUAAGCCAGUCACCGAAGCUGCGGAUGUACGUAAGUGCAUGGUAGGAGAGCGUUCUGUAAGCCUGUGAAGGUGUCUUGUAAAGGAUGCUGGAGGUAUCAGAAGUGCGAAUGCUGACAUGAGUAGCGAUAAAGGGGGUGAAAGGCCCCCUCGCCGUAAGCCCAAGGUUUCCUACGCAACGUUCAUCGGCGUAGGGUGAGUCGGCCCCUAAGGUGAGGCAGAGAUGCGUAGCUGAUGGGAAGCAGGUUAAUAUUCCUGCACCGUCGUAUGAUGCGAUGGGGGGACGGAUCGCGGAAGGUUGUCCGGGUGUUGGAAGUCCCGGUCCCUACAUUGGAGAUGGCACUUAGGCAAAUCCGGGUGCGUGAUUCAAGGGUGUGGGGCGAGCGACGUUAGGUCGCGAAGCAAUUGGAAGUGGUUCCAAGAAAAGCCUCUAAGCUUCAGUCAUACGAGACCGUACCGCAAACCGACACAGGUGGGCGAGAUGAGUAUUCUAAGGCGCUUGAGAGAACUCGGGAGAAGGAACUCGGCAAAUUGGUACCGUAACUUCGGGAUAAGGUACGCCCUUGUAGUUUGACUGGCUCGCGCCAGAAGGAUGAAGGGGUUGCAAUAAAAUGGUGGCUGCGACUGUUUAAUAAAAACACAGCACUCUGCAAACACGAAAGUGGACGUAUAGGGUGUGACGCCUGCCCGGUGCCGGAAGAUUAAAUGAUGGGGUGCAAGCUCUUGAUUGAAGUCCCGGUAAACGGCGGCCGUAACUAUAACGGUCCUAAGGUAGCGAAAUUCCUUGUCGGGUAAGUUCCGACCUGCACGAAUGGCGUAACGAUGGCCACACUGUCUCCUCCCGAGACUCAGCGAAGUUGAAGUGUUUGUGAUGAUGCAAUCUCCCCGCGGCUAGACGGAAAGACCCCAUGAACCUUUACUGUAGCUUUGCAUUGGACUUUGAACCGAUCUGUGUAGGAUAGGUGGGAGGCUUUGAAACCGGGACGCUAGUUUCGGUGGAGCCGACCUUGAAAUACCACCCUGGUUUGUUUGAGGUUCUAACCUUGGCCCGUGAAUCCGGGUCGGGGACAGUGCAUGGUAGGCAGUUUGACUGGGGCGGUCUCCUCCCAAAGUGUAACGGAGGAGUUCGAAGGUACGCUUGGUACGGUCGGACAUCGUACCUAAAGUGCAAUGGCAAAAGCGUGCUUAACUGCGAGACCGACAAGUCGAGCAGGUGCGAAAGCAGGACAUAGUGAUCCGGUGGUUCUGUAUGGAAGGGCCAUCGCUCAACGGAUAAAAGGUACUCUGGGGAUAACAGGCUGAUACCGCCCAAGAGUUCAUAUCGACGGCGGUGUUUGGCACCUCGAUGUCGGCUCAUCUCAUCCUGGGGCUGUAGCCGGUCCCAAGGGUAUGGCUGUUCGCCAUUUAAAGAGGUACGUGAGCUGGGUUUAAAACGUCGUGAGACAGUUUGGUCCCUAUCUGCCGUGGGCGUUGGAAUCUUGACGGGGGCUGCUCCUAGUACGAGAGGACCGGAGUGGACGUACCGCUGGUGUACCUGUUGUCUCGCCAGAGGCAUCGCAGGGUAGCUAUGUACGGAAGAGAUAACCGCUGAAAGCAUCUAAGCGGGAAACUCGCCUGAAGAUGAGGAUUCCCUGGAGACUUGAUCUCCCUGAAGGGUCGUUCGAGACCAGGACGUUGAUAGGCUGGGUGUGGAAGCGCAGUAAUGUGUUCAGCUAACCAGUACUAAUUGCCCGUGCGGCUUGAUCCU